GGAUUGUGGCUCAAUGGUAGUGUGCUUGCCUAGCAUGUGUGAGGCACUGGGUUCGAUUCUCAGCACCA
rnacentral:tRNA from 1 species